rnacentral:rRNA from 1 species
CAGCCGUAAACUAUGCGCGUUAGGUGUACUGGUGACCACGAGUCACCGGGGUGCCGAAGGGAAACCGUGAAACGUGCCGCCUGGGAAGUACGGUCGCAAGGCUGAAACUUAAAGGAAUUGCGGGGAGCACCACAACGGGUGGAGCCUGCGGUUUAAUUGGACUCAACGCCGGAAAUCUCACCGGAUAGGACAGACAUAUGAUAGUCGGGCUGAAGACUCUACUUGAUGAUCUGAGAGGUGGUGCAUGGCGUCAGUGACU